rnacentral:sRNA from 1 species
GUUAGCAUUAACGAAUCCUUAGGACAUUACGCUUAAUGUUCCCCUUAUCCAGUCCUCUGGAUCGGAGUGGCCCCAACCACUCUGUUUGACGCCUCCCUGUUAACUUCCUGAGCCGCCCACCGGGCGGCUCUUUUUUU